UACGUAGGGUGCGAGCGUUGUCCGGAAUUAUUGGGCGUAAAGAGCUCGUAGGCGGUGUGUCACGUCGGCCGUGAAAACCUGCAGCUUAACUGUGGGCGUGCGGUCGAUACGGGCAUCACUGGAGUUCGGCAGGGGAGACUGGAAUUCCUGGUGUAGCGGUGAAAUGCGCAGAUAUCAGGAGGAACACCGGUGGCGAAGGCGGAUCUCUGGGCCGUAACUGACGCUGAGGAGCGAAAGCAUGGGGAGCGAACAGG
rnacentral:rRNA from 1 species